rnacentral:rRNA from 1 species
UACAGAGGUGGCAAGCGUUGUUCGGAAUUACUGGGCGUAAAGGGCGCGUAGGCGGUCCGAUAAGUCCCGUGUGAAAUCCCCCGGCUCAACUGAGGAACGGGAAACUGACGGGCUUGAGUUCGGGAGAGGGAAGCGGAAUUCCGGGUGUAGCGGUGAAAUGCGUAGAUAUCCGGAGGAACACCGGUGGCGAAGGCGGCUUCCUGGACCGACACUGACGCUGAGGCGCGAAAGCUAGGGGAUCAAACGGG